rnacentral:rRNA from 1 species
AGUGAACGCUGGCGGUAGGCCUAACACAUGCAAGUCGAACGGCAGCACAGAGGAGCUUGCUCCUUGGGUGGCGAGUGGCGGACGGGUGAGGAAUACAUCGGAAUCUACUCUGUCGUGGGGGAUAACGUAGGGAAACUUACGCUAAUACCGCAUACGGCCUACGGGUGAAAGCAGGGGACCUUCGGGCCUUGCGCGAUUGAAUGAGCCGAUGUCGGAUUAGCUAGUUGGCGGGGUAAAGGCCCACCAAGGCGACGAUCCGUAGCUGGUCUGAGAAGAGAAUCAGCCACACUGGAACUGGGACACGGUCCAGACUCCUACGGGAGGCAGCAGUGGGGAAUAUUGGACAAUGGGCGCAAGCCUGAUCCAGCCAUACCGCGUGGGUGAAGAAGGCCUUCGGGUUGUAAAGCCCUUUUGUUGGGAAAGAAAUCCAGCUGGCUAAUACCCGGUUGGGAUGACGGUACCCAAAGAAUAAGCACCGGCUAACUUCGUGCCAGCCGCCGCCGUAA